CACAGAUGAGGCUCUGAUUGACUCCUGAUCCAGGAACUUCCAUAUGCUGCAGGGCCUUCUACAAGCCACUCUCAAGCUCUUUGCCUGGACUCCAGCACAGCUCUCUGCGGGAGACCACACACAGAACUUGCUAGCUUGGAAGAGAAGGCAUGUCUAAGGGCAGAAAGGUGGAGUGGAAGAAACAGGGCAGCAGCUCGAGUGGGCACAAUAAGAUGAGCUGAGAGGCCAAGGCUGAAGCAGCUCUUUUGGAGCAAGGGCCACCUCUAAAGGUGGAAAACAGACGUCAGAAGAUGAUGAAGCCAAGUGGACAAGGACCAGGCCUCCCAUCAGCCUCAUCUGGGACAUCUUUAUAAACUGAGGCAAAGUCAGAGAUCCCAUCACGGCUCAGCAGUUAGCGAACCCGACUAGCAUCCAAGAGGACGCAGGUUCGAUCCCUGGCCUUGCUCAGUGGCUUAAGAUUCUGGUGUUGCCAUGAGCUGUGGUGUAGGUCACAGACGCAGCUCAGAUCCAACAUUGCUGUAGCUGUGGUGUAGGCCGGCAGCCUCAGCUCCGAUUGGACCUCGAGCCUGGGAACAUCCAUGUGCCACAGGUACGGCCCUAAAAAGACUUAGAGACAAAAAAAAUAAUAGUGAUAAACGGAGGCAAAGUAUUCCUUCUAAAAAUGUGGUCAAGGGCCACAGAGGGUGUCUGAGGAGCACUAGAGAAGGAAGGGAGGGGAAAGCAGGGACCAGCUGGAUCAGACCAGACAUGAGAUGGCAGAAGACAUAAAGGAGAAACCACAACAGUGUUGCUGGGAGGAAGCCAUCCCGGGAGGCUAGACCGGCAAGGUCUGCUCCAAUCUGUCAUUCACUCACUUGACCGUGGACAAGGCCCUCUUGCUCUCAACUCCCGGUCUGUCAUAUGGGGAGGCAGUACUACCUGUUCUCUGUGCCCAGGUGCUAGGAUUCCAUGAGCUAAGUUCAAAAUGUCCCAGGUUGUCAACCUGGAAGACAGAGAUAGAAAGCAAGGGGAGUGCCUGAGAUCAGCAGCCAGAUGGAGGAUGUUGCAACUCAAAUUAAGUAACCAAGGAUGACACAUAUCUGAUAGUGUUUUCCUGCAGCACCUCUUUGUUGGCAUAAUCCUUGUUGAAUAUUAGACAACAACCUCGACAUGCCACAUGAACCUUAGGAAGUUCAGACUAUAACCAGACUAGUUCAGAAAAGUUCAAAAAAAGAACUCAACUUACUGCAGAAAUACGCUCUUAUGGGACAACUCUGGUGCCUGCCACUAAAAGCCAAGAUUUCCGUGACAGCCUCGAUUCUCUCGGAAUAUGUACACGGAGAGAAAACCUAAAAGUGUGUUACUACAUGCCCAGAAAUUAUAUUCACACAAAAAAACGCCUUAUGGAUACUGACUGAAAUGUGAUGGGCUUAUUCCCAUUAAAUUAUUGCAGGACUUUAAUCAAUAAAUCGACACUGAUGAAGUUACUUCAACAGUAACAGAAGCCAGAAAUUUUCAAAUACCUCUAAAGAAGGAAUAGUCUCUGACAGGCUGCUGGAAAUGGAUUUGCUCUUUUUUUCUGUACAGUAACUCAGAACCACACAAAACUAUAUAGUUCUAAAUAAAGGCAAAUAGAUGGAC
ensembl:lncRNA